CAGGAUUGUUUGCAGAUAAUGCUGUUCUUCUUUUUUAGAAGUUUUUGGUGAGCCAACUCUCACAAACCUUCCUAAAAACUAAAAGAGCUAUUUCUGAGUCUCAGUGAAUCUUGCCAUGAUCAGCUCUUCCCAGAAGAGAAGGAAGACCAAGGAAAUGAUUUGCUCAGGAUGAGGAAUGAAGACGGCAAUCUUGUGCUCAAACAAACAGAAGUCCUCUGAUGAUCUCAUCAGCCAAAUGAGGGGUUUUGACCAAGUGAUGCUCUUGAAAGGAGUGAAAGAAGAGGAUGUGGUAAAUUGUCUUCAGAGAAAAAGCUUCUCAAAAGGUCUUAAAGCAGCUUGAAGAAUGGUCUGGGAUCUUAGGACUGGGAGAUCCUCUGGCUGAGAACAAGCUACACCACAUCAGUGCUGGAUAUCAACCACAAACUGUUUCGAGA